UCCGGUUUCUGGAGCGAGGUGGUCCCACCUCUUCCCAUUCCGAACAGAGUCGUUAAACGCCUCAGCGCCGACGAUAUUGCCCGGGCAACUGGGUGAGAAAAUAGGUCGAAGCCGGAA
rnacentral:rRNA from 1 species